UACGAAGGGGGCUAGCGUUGUUCGGAAUCACUGGGCGUAAAGCGCACGUAGGCGGACUUUUAAGUCAGGGGUGAAAUCCCCGGGGCUCAACCCCCGGAACUGCCUUUGAUACUGGAAGUCUUGAGUCCGAGAGAGGUGAGUGGAACUCCGAGUGUAGAGGUGAAAUUCGUAGAUAUUCGGAAGAACACCAGUGGCGAAGGCGGCUCACUGGCUCGGUACUGACGCUGAGGUGCGAAAGCGUGGGGAGCAAACAGGAUUAGAUACCCGCGUAGU
rnacentral:rRNA from 1 species